rnacentral:tRNA from 1 species
ACCCCUGUAGUGUAGCGGUCAAUCAUUCCAGCCUUUGGAGCUGGAAACGGCGGUUCGAAUCCGCCCAGGGGUA